GCUGGAUGCUGACGAGCGGCGGACGUGUUGAGUAAUGCAUAGGAAUCUGCCCGAUAGUGGGGGAUAACCUGGGGAAACCCAGGCUAAUACCGCAUACGUCCUACGGGAGAAAGGGGGCUCCGGCUCCCGCUAUGGGAUGAGCCUAUGUCGGAUUAGCUAGUUGGUGAGGUAACGGCUCACCAAGGCCACGAUCCGUAGCUGGUCUGAGAGGAUGAUCAGCCACAUCGGGACUGAGACACGGCCCGAACUCCUACGGGAGGCAGCAGUGGGGAAUAUUGGACAAUGGGGGAAACCCUGAUCCAGCCAUGCCGCGUGUGUGAAGAAGGCCCUCGGGUUGUAAAGCACUUUCAGCGAGGAAGAACGCCUAGCGGUUAAUACCCGCUAGGAAAGACAUCACUCGCAGAAGAAGCACCGGCUAACUCCGUGCCAGCAGCCGCGGUAAUACGGAGGGUGCAAGCGUUAAUCGGAAUUACUGGGCGUAAAGCGCGCGUAGGUGGCUUGAUAAGCCGGUUGUGAAAGCCCCGGGCUCAACCUGGGAAACGGCAUCCGGAACUGUCAAGCUAGAGUGCAGGAGAGGAAGGUAGAAUUCCCGGUGUAGCGGUGAAAUGCGUAGAGAUCGGGAGGAAUACCAGUGGCGAAGGCGGCCUUUCUGGGA
rnacentral:rRNA from 1 species